CCUACGGGAGACAGCAGUGAGGAAUAUUGGUCAAUGGACGAGAGUCUGAACCAGCCAAGUAGCGUGAAGGAUGACUGCCCUAUGGGUUGUAAACUUCUUUUAUAUGGGAAUAAAAUGUUCCACGUGUGGGAUUUUGUAUGUACCAUAUGAAUAAGGAUCGGCUAACUCCGUGCCAGCAGCCGCGGUAAUACGGAGGAUCCGAGCGUUAUCCGGAUUUAUUGGGUUUAAAGGGAGCGUAGGUGGAUUGUUAAGUCAGUUGUGAAAGUUUGCGGCUCAACCGUAAAAUUGCAGUUGAAACUGGCAGUCUUGAGUGCAGUAGGGGUGGGCGGAAUUCGUGGUGUAGCGGUGAAAUGCUUAGAUAUCACGAAGAACUCCGAUUGCGAAGGCAGUUCACUGGACCGCAACUGACGUUGAGGCUCGAAAGUGUGGGGAUCAAACAGGAUUAGAUACCCGUGUAGUC
rnacentral:rRNA from 1 species